GGUAAUGUGGCCGAGUUGGUUAAGGUAAGCUCUCUGCAUGGGAGUCUGAAUGUAAGAACACCAUCUAAUGCUGGAAAUAGGCGUCAGACUUAAGCUACAAAGAACCUCUUUGUACGUGUUCUGAUAUCGAAAGAUGCAAGGGUUCGAUCCCCUUCGUUACCA
rnacentral:tRNA from 1 species